rnacentral:rRNA from 1 species
GCUUACGGCCAUACCACCCUGAGCACGCCCGAUCUCGUCUGAUCUCGGAAGCUAAGCAGGGUCGGGCCUGGUUAGUACUUGGACGGGAGACCGCCUGGGAAUACCAGGUGCAGUAAGCU